UACGUAUGGGGCGAGCGUUGUCCGGAAUUACUGGGCGUAAAGGGUGCGUAGGUGGUUUCUUAAGUCAGAGGUGAAAGGCUACGGCUCAACCGUAGUAAGCCUUUGAAACUGGGGAACUUGAGUGCAGGAGAGGAGAGUGGAAUUCCUAGUGUAGCGGUGAAAUGCGUAGAUAUUAGGAGGAACACCAGUUGCGAAGGCGGCUCUCUGGACUGUAACUGACACUGAGGCACGAAAGCGUGGGGAGCAAACAGGAUUAGAUACCCUGGUAGUCCCUGA
rnacentral:rRNA from 1 species